GAGGUUGGACAAGAUUGAUGAUAUUAGCCAUGAGUGGAUUGAUUCAGAUGUUCUAAUAUUCAAUUCAGGUCAUUGGUGGACAAGGACUAAGCUUUUUGACAUACAGGGGUUGGUACUUUCAGGUUGAUAGCUCAGUGAAGCUUGGAAUGACAAUCAAUUCUGCUUAUAACACAGCCCUUCACACCUAGGCAUCUUGGGUGGAGAAUUCAGUCAACAUGAAUAGAACAAGAGUAUUUUUCCGUACCUUUGAAUCAUCUCAUUGGAGUGGAAAGAACCACAAUGCAUGCAAAGUGAGUAGGAAUCCAUGGAAGAGAAGCAAUAUGAGGAGCGAAGCCCUAUGUCAGAUAUGAUCAAUAGGGUUGUGAAGAACAUGAGUGUUCCAGUAACAGUUUUGCAUGUUACACCAAUGAGUUCUUAUAGGAGUGAUGAUCAUGUGGGAACUUG